AAAUACAUCAAAAGUCUUGACCUUAUCUUGUAAGUCAUGAUUGGUCUGAUUUAGACAAAAUUUUGAGGAAAGGGAUUUUUUGUCAUGCUAGUGCGUAACAGUGUUUUUUGUUAGGAUUUGGAACUUGUUUCAUAUAGCGUGUAAUUUAUGGUUUCACUACACACGUGAGUAAGACCUUAGAAUGGAAGUACAUAUCAUUAUAUCAAGAGGUAUUACUUUAGUCGUGUGUGUGGAUUUUCUUAAGUAUCAUUCGAGGAGAGGGAAGAGUAAAUAUACC
rnacentral:lncRNA from 1 species